AAUCCGCAUGAUAUCAACAAAAUCGAUGAAGUGAAACUCGAUGGUAGAUUUGGUUUUGAUUUAUACGUAAAAGUUGAGUGAAGCGUAUACAUGUUGAGUUAAUGCCAUAUUUCUGUAUGCUGUAAUCACCUGAAUCCACUGGAAGAAGUAGUCUUAGCGUGUUUUCCCAAAAUAGCCCUACUUAAUUUGGUGUGGUUAAGAGUAGAAUCAGUUUCAAAAAGAAUGCACUUUUCAGAAAAAGAGAUGGCGUUUCGGGUGCGGGCCUCCAAAUUUCGACAUAUUUAUGGAGAGGCACAUCGGAAAGAAAAAUGUUACGAGAACAUAAGACUCACAAGAAAUGCACACGACAGUAAUUUCUGCGCUGUGAAUCCAAAAUAUCUGGCAGUUGUGACAGAGUCGGCUGGGGGCGGUUCUUUUGUUGUCUUGCCUUUGUCUAAAACUGGUAGAGUUGACAUAAAUGCUCCAAAAGUUUGUGGUCAUGCCGGUGGGGUGUUAGACAUUAAAUGGAGUCCUUUUCAUGACGACGUUAUAGCGUCUGGAUCAGACGAUUGUACGGUAAAAGUUUGGCAGAUUCCAGACGGAGGUUUGAAAUCCAAUUUAACUGAGUGGCAAGUUGAUCUGCACGGUCACGGCAGACGUGUGACUUAUAUUGAAUGGCAUCCGACUGCAGAUAAUAUUAUUCUUAGUGCUGGGCUAGAUUAUAAGUGCAUUAUAUGGAAUGUUGAACAAGCAGAACCAGUGAAUGUAAUAAAUUGUCACAAUGACAUUAUACAGUCAAUAUCAUGGAAUCGUGAUGGCAGCUUGUUUUCUACUACAUGCAAAGAUAAAGUUUUACGAAUAAUUGACCCACGGGUUGGUGACUGUGUAGCGGAAGCAACUGAUGUAUUCAGGGGAGUUCGCCCAAUGAAAGGACUGCUUUUAGGGGAUACGGGUAAAGUUUUCUGUACAGGUUUCUCUCACAAUGGCGAGCGGGAGCUUGUGAUUUGGGAUAUAAAAAACAUGAAGAACCCUUUGAUAAGAAAAAAUAUAGAUAACUCUAAUGGAAUAUUGAUGCCAUAUUAUGACCAUGAUACCAAAGUAGUCUUCCUUGCCGGUAAGGGCGAUGGCAAUAUACGUUAUUUUGAGAUGACGGACGAGACACCAUAUUGUCAUUUCCUAAAUGUGUAUGGAUCGUCUUCCCCACAAAGAGGCCUUGGAGUUAUGCCAAAAAGAGGCUGUGAUGCUAGUAGGUGUGAGAUAAUGAGGUUCUAUAAACUACAUGCAGCAAGAAAUUUUGUAGAACCAGUCUCCAUGAUUGUUCCUAGAAAGUCAAACAUUUUCCAUGAAGAUAUUUUCCCUCCAACUGCAAGUGCAAUACCAUCAUUAUCAGCUGAUGAAUGGAUCAGUGGUCAGAACCGGGAACCAAUAUUGAUCUCAAUGAAGGAUCACCAUAUUGUGAAUGACCCUUCAUACACCCCAUCAAGGGCUGGCCUACCCCAGGAUGGAGCCCUGAAUGAAGCCCCUACAAUCACGACAUACAGGGCUGUCAGCUCAUCACAGAGUGGGGGUUCUGGAGAACCCCAGAGGAUCCCAGCAUCAUUGAAAAAUAUUAAACGUCUCAGUACAUGUGAAGAUGUUGUCACCUUAACUCCUUCUAGUCAAACCAGUGUAGAAAGCACGCCACCAGAAAGUACGAGACCAUCAUCUACAUCAGAUGCAACAUCAGACAAGGCUUUCGUAAAUAGUAAAAUUGCCGCUUUUGAAAAUAAAGGGUCAAAUAACAACAAUACCAAUGACAUGGUGACUUCACCAACCAGACGACAGUUUGAUCGGAGGUCAUGGUCGGGCAGUCAGGAAAACCCUCCUGAUGUAAUAGCCAAUGGUAUUAAAGGAACAAAUGAGUCUCACAGUGGAAACAACAGAACUCUGAAUAUUCAGAAUGCUGCACAGUUUUUUGAACAUAGAGAAAUACAGAUUAUAGAUAUUCAUAGUAGAGAAAAUACCACAAAGUCAGAAAACAACAAAAAAGAUGGAAAGACUGAUCAGUCCUUUCCUGCGCAAUCUUCUCCUGCUGGUAGAUUGAUACUAGGGGAGGUAAAUGGGGAUAGAUCUCAACAGAAACCACAUAAGAUACAUGUAAAGAAAACGUGGUCACCAAUAAAACCACCUAGUAACCCGAUAUGGGAGGAUAUGGGUAAUGUACCCAACACAGAUCCAGAGUUGCGGAAAGCGUACUUCCAGCAGGCACAGGAGAUAAAGGCAUUAAAGGAGCAGCUGGCGUUGAAAGACAAAAGAAUUCGACAGUUGGAAGAUGAAGCUAUCCUUUUGAGAAAACCCCAACAUGACGAAAGUCAUUGUUGAUAGGGAAUGUUAUUUCAGUGCUUUGAGAAAACCCCCAACUCUGAAAUGUAUUUGUUUUAUUAGUGAGAAUCUGGUGAAAUAUUCGCUGGUUGUUUUGAGUUUGUUACAGAGUAUGCAGUCAUAAAAAUGUGUAUGAAAAGGGUCAAAAUAUCUUGAAAAAGGCAUGUAACAUUUCAAGUGAGCCAUCUGUUUAUGUUAUUAUGCAAGACUGUUGCGAUCUAUAAGCCUGUUUAUACUUGCUCAUUAAGCAUCUAAAAUGCGAAAAUAUAAUUGACAAAAGCUCAUGAUGAAUUUUGCUACAAAGGUUUAAUCUCGACUUUUCGAAGAUCAAGGAGAGCUAUCCUGGUUAAGGUCCACAUUUUGACAUCACCUUUUGACAUAUACAUGUAGCUUUGAAACUUUCAACACUUGUGUACCAUCACCAUGUCCACAUUUAGGCAAGAAUACAUAAUUCCAUCAAGGAUUUUGUCUGAAUUUUGCCGCUUUCAAAUUACAAAUUUUCAUUAAGUUUUUCACGCCAGUUCAUAUUUUGUAUAAACUGUUUGACAUAUGUCUUUGAAACUUUUAUCACUUGUUUAUUGUAACAGUCUCUAGCUGUAGGCCAGAGUACAUAACUCUGUUCAGUAUUUUGGCUGAAUUGUGUCCCUUUUACGACUUUGAAAUAAUUUUCAGUCCAUACAUCAGUUCUUCAAAUAGUUGAGCACACUAUCAACAGACAGCUCUUAUUUUUAUGUAAAUGUUAUCAUGAUAUUCCAGAAAAUUCCAUAUAAUGGAUGAAAAACAUAUGUUUUGACCAACAUAUUUCAUAGUAAUUUCCAAGUUUAACUUCAACACAUUCUGGUACAUAAUCGAGUCAUUCCACAUUUUUCUUUUUUUACCACAUAGUGUUAAGCUUUAUGCAUUCCAGAAUUGUUGAUUCCAGUAAACAAUGUUCUUUAGCCUCUGCCUCAUAAGAGUAAUAGAUAGUAAACUUCCUAAUGUUAGUGUAAAAAGUGGUUCACGGUGUUAAACCCAAAACAAACAAAAAAACAAAUCUUUACAUCAGUGCAAAAGGUAUAACAUCAAUGGAAGAAGUGGUUUAAGCUCUUCUUAAUGUCAAUGGAAGAAGCGGUUAACUUUUUUAAUGAAACUGGAAAAAGUGGUUAAUUUCUUCUUAAUGUCAAUGAAAAAAGUUAUUUACUUUUUAAUGCCAAUGCAGUUGACAUUCGUUUGCGCUGCGGUAAAGAUGCCUCUUUCUGUUCAAUGGUUCGACAAUGUAUGUAGUUAACCUGCAUGGUCUGUAGAUGUAUCAUUGUUAUAGAAAAUUGCUAUUGUUUUAUCCUAAACUUUAUUAUAAGAUUCUUGAUCUGUAUAUUUGAGCAUAAAUUUCACAAACUGAAUAUGUUAGUCCCCUUGUUGCUGUAUUUUUUAAAAAAAGUACUAUUGUUAAAGUAUUAUUGUUAAAACACUUUUAUUUUCAGCUUUAUUUUAAAUGCGCUAAUUUGAACUUCUAUAUAGAUCUACACAUUCCAUCAACUGAAUAAUGUUCUACAGCCUUUGCUUCAAGAGUCUUGCAAUUUUAUAAUGUUUUGUUUUUUAUUUUUUUUGUAUUGAUGAUGUAGUAUUGUUAAAAUAAUUGGAACUUUAUCUUCAACUUUAUUCUCAGUACACAUUCCACAAACUGAAUAUGUUAGCUACCUCUUGCACAUUCUUCUAUACAGAUGUGAAGGCUUCAUUUCUUGGUCUCGGUGAUAACAUGAUAUUCCACUUCGUAAGUUAACGAUUAGCACAUUUGCACAUAAGAAUAAUAUCUUACACAUUAAAAGGUUUGUUUUCUGUCAAUAUUGUGUCAUUCUAUGAAUAUAUAAUGUAUUCUAAAUUGAUGGCAGUUACUUGUAGAGAACAAUACUCUACUGGUACAGAAUCUAGAAACACUGGUUAGGUGAACUGCCCGCUGUUACAUACCUGAAAUAGUGUUGACAAAUGGCAGUAAACCCAAAAACAAAAUAAGUUAAAGAUAAUGCUUUCUUGCCUCGGUAAGACUAUUACAGUUCGAUUUUACCAUACAGACUAGCUAGAACUCUGAACAUUUUCAAAAAAAAACAUGAGGUGCAUGGCUUCCAGCUUCUCCUUUCGUUUCAAAUCUGAAGCAGGUAACAGAAAACAAUAAGUCUUAUUGAAAAGUGACCAAAUGGAAACGGGUCUCCCAAAAAGAUAUUUUCCUGCAUAAUUCGCCUUCAUUAUUGAGCUGGAAAGGAGCAAUGUGUAUUCCAUUUCUGGCUUCCAUCUGGCACAAAAAAAAAACAACAAGCAAGCUAUAUUCUAGCUCUUUAAAAAGAUAACAUUAUUGUACAUUUUAUAUCACUUUGGGUCCAAGAUAUGGUGUUUUGUAUAUGUUAUUCCUUUUUUUGUGUCCCGGAAAAAAUUUGUUGUGAUCUGUAGGAUAUCUAUGUAUUUAUAUACAUGUUAUUGAAAUUGUUUCAUCUGUCAGAUAAUUCUUAUACAGUCAUAAUCGCCUCCCUUUGCAAUUUUUGUUCAAAUAUGAGUACCUUGACCAAUUUGUAACCAUGUGUGUACAAAAAAAUUAAGGCAAUUACUAGUAUGUUUGAAUUUUUUUAUCCGGUAAUGGAUACUUCGUUUCUAUACGUUGAAAAUGUAAUGUCUAUACAAAGGUUAGAGUGUAGACUGCUGUAAAAUGUUAAGAACUAUUUUGUGAGGAAACUCCAUUUUGUUUGCAAGUAAUUGUUACUAGAAGAUCAAACUAAAUCUUGCUAUGAUAGUGAAUAUAUGAGAUAUUUAAACUCGCAAAAACAUGUGAAAAAUAGGAAAAAGACAUUUUUUGCAGACAGACUUUGUUUAUCUUACUGUGGUCAGUUUAAGAAAUAAAAUACUUAUUUUAAUUAAUCCUGCCCGGUUUUAUUAGAAAUAUUGUUUCUAUGUUAAUGUUAAGGAUAUUGAUGGAUAUUAAUUUUAGUUCACGAUUUUAAUUUGUUAUCCCUUAAAGGCAUUUUUCCUAAGCUAGCAGAUUAAAAUCUGUCUCAAAAAUAGACUGUUCAUUUCUUUUUUAUGAAAUUCAUAUUUAUAAAAAAACACACAUCUACUAAAUUGAAAGUUGUAUAUGUUUUGAAGUAAAAUGGUAAAAUAAUAUUAUGUUACAAAGCUUAUUCAGAGUUUACAAUAUAGUGUUUUAUCCUAUCUUAUAUUGUUAAAGUAUUAUUUAAUGUCACAAACUGCUAGUGAAAUGUAUAUAAUAAUGUUGCACUUGCAUCACAUUUAAACUGGUAAUAGAAUACAACUAUGUGAGACUGAAACUCUUUAUCUUGCUAUUUUAAGAUUUUCUUAAUGUUUGAUAACUUUUAUUACAUUCGUAUUCUUUAAGUAUUAAUUAGUUAAGUAUAAAAAGCAAUUAAACCAACUAAGACAUAAGGUACAUAAAAUUACAUUUGUUGACUGUAGAAAAGCCGAAAAUAAAUUAUGAACUGAUGUUUAAAAACAGAAAAUUAUUUUUAAAAGUUUGUUGUCAUAGCCACUUACAUAGCGCUACUUAUUACUAAUUGUUCAGUGUUUUAAAAUUGUUUAAACAUGUCUGGUCAUUUUCAUAGAAUAUACUUUUCAUCUGCUUUAUUCAUUGGCAUUUUUGUAAUUGCAUAAACAUUGGCAUUUUUAUGUGUUUCAUUUGCUCGUAGCUUUUUAACAUGUUUAAAUUGAUCUGUAACCAACAGUAUUUGCUUAAAAGUCCAAAUUUUAUUUAAGUUAUAUUAAUAUUACUUUUUGUGUUUAAUUGACUGUUUAAUGUUUGCAUAAAGAAGGUUGCGUAACCUAUAUUUUGGGACUCUGUGGGUUCUAGCCUCUUUCAGGGCGUUGAAAUCUCUAUAUAGGGAAGCCAUCCAGCUGGCUUACGGAAGGUCGGUGGUUCUGCUCAGGUGCCUGCCUGUGAUAAAAUAACGCACGGCGGGGCACCUGGGGUCUUUCUCCACCAUCAAAGCUGGAAAGUCUCCAUGUGACCCUGUGACCAUGUCGGUGCGACGUUAAACCCAAUAAAAACAAAAACAAAUGAGCUACCUAUAUGAGCGCCGCUGUGGGAAGCCGAUGAUCGGUAAGGAGCUAGGUUAGUGCACAUAUCUACUGUUUCCUUAUCCCAACAUCGACACUGUUUAUCAGGUCAAGCACUUGUAUGCAGCUAAUAAGCUAUCAGUGUUUGCAUGGACUACACAAUGCCUUCGUUCAUGCUAAAUACACGAAAUCUCAAUCUGUCCGAGAAUAGUGUACUUGUGUAGUAACUGCUUGAUUUUAUAGAUCUGUCUCAAAUGUAUUAUGUAUUUGUUAGGUUACGCUUCUAGCCCUUUUACCAUGAUUUGAACAAUUCUUGAAAUUAGUAAAGAUACAAGGGGUUAAAGGUUCACAUUGUCCUGUUAUGCGAAAGACUAUUAUUCAACAUGAAAUUGUUCAUUUCAUAUAUGCAGGGUUCAUAUAACUUACAUCAUUUUUAUGUAGAGUCCCAGACUCUGUGAACUAGAUCCAUGUAAUUGUUAUUGAAGGAGGGUUUAUUGUAUAGAAGUGUUAUAUUAAUCAGAGCCAAAAAGUCUGACUUUUUAUAUUAUUCUGUGUAAAUUAAGUUCAUAGAUAUGUUGUUGUGUAAUACAUUCAAUUAUCUCAGUCCUGUGUAUUAGUAUAAGUUUUUUCUAGCAUGCUCAGGCUAAUUGUACAUUUGCCUUCAAACCAGUACUUUUUUUAUUUUUACAAUUAUAAAAGAAAGCAAUUUUUUAUGUGCAAGAAUUUGUAUGUCCCUGUUUCCUCGUACGUUCAACUAAUUUAUUAAUUCAGGGUUGUUUGAAAUGAACCAAUAUUUUUUCCCACCAGAUCUGUUCUAUUUUCUUUUUUUUUGUUUCAAAACCAUCCUUUUUGUUUUGUAUAUAAUGUUUUGACAUCCGUUUUUGUUAUUUUAACAUGAUGUAACAAUGUGAAUUGUAGAUUUUCUGCUUUUUUUUUCUCCUUGUCUGAAAAUUUAAUUAAAGUUGUUUCCAGAGAAAGAUUUAACACAAAAUAGGAAACUUUUGACCAUUGAAUAGAGCAAAGUAUUUUUUGAAAGUAGAUUAAAUUUUUUAAAUACCCCGUUUUAGUUUUUAUCUUGUCAAGAAAAAGAUAAAACUUCAUAUCGGUUAUUUUUGUGUUCUCUACCUCUUAUGUUAUUCAUUUUAUUACAAGGUUGUUAGUUUUAGCACAAUAGAAAGAAAAUUUUAUUUUGCUUUGUUGGCUAUUCGAUUCUAUUUAUUUAUAUAUUAUUGAAAUUGUUCUGUUAUUUUUUUUAUAUAUUUUUUAUGUUUUAAAAUAGAUCUGGGACAAGCUAGGACUGAAUAAUGUGGCCAUGAACUCGUGAAAAUGGGAGAGAAAGCGAAAUAAAAAAUUCCUUUAGGGAAAAUUAAGGGAAUAGGGAAUUUAGAAAAGAUUCAGAAAUUAUAAGGAAAUAAAAUCUAGAAGAAUCUUACAAAAGUUGGAGAAAAUAUUAUAAUUGGCUUUCUUUCAUGACGAGAACUUUUUUUCUAGAAUUGUAUGAAUGUAAAAUGUCAGAAAAAGAGCUUGGCUUAAUGUUGGGGUGGUAAAGGCAUGCUAAUAUCUUCAAAAAUUAAUGUACACGGCCCAUUAAUAAUCGCCUGUGACUAAAAUUAAGACAUGGAGCACCUGUGAUAAAUUACAGAUUCCGGUGUAUACCGGAUUCAAGCGAUUUGAAUGAUAGGUAUCUUUAAUGUAUAUGUCUUGUUACCACGGUAAUCCUAGUCCUAAUCUUUAGUCCAGUAUAAUUUGCCUAUUACACACUAAAUGUGUGCGGACUUGCAAUGAUUUGCGUAUCUUUGUUGUGCGCGCUCCGAUUGGUAAUCACUUCAGGACAUGCACAGAAUACUGCUCCAGGUCUGUAGUGAGUAACAUCGUCAAUACUCCAAUUGUUAAACAUGCAAAUUGUGUUAACAAUGUUUUAGUGAGUUCAUGGACCACUUUGAGUAUAGAUUCACUGCUUUGUAUGUAGAGUCCUCUUACCAACCGGGCUCAUAGAAGAUACAAAGGCGAUGAGAUCUUCCUCUUCGAUUCAGUCUCGAAAUCUCCUUUGUCUAGUGAGUUACUUUAAACCCAAUACAGGUAUUAUCUAGUGAGUUACUUUAAACCCAAUACAGGUAUUAUCUAGUGAGUUACUUUAAACCCGAUACAUGUUUUAUGUAGUGAGUUACUUUAAAACCAAUACAUGUCUUGUGUAGCGAGUUACUUAAAACCCAAUACUUGUAUUGUCUAGUGAGUUUCUUUAAAACCAAUACAUGUCUUAUGUAGCGAGUUACUUAAAACCCAAUACUUGUAUUGUCUAGUGAGUUACUUAAAAUCCAAUACAUGUAUUGUGUAGUGAGUUACUUUAAAACUAAUACUUGUAUUGUCUAGUGGGUUACUUAAAAUCCAAUACAUGUAUUGUGUAGUGAGUUACUUUAAAACCAAUACAUGUAUUAUGUAAUGAGUUACUUUAAAACCAAUACAUGUAUUGUGUAGCGAGUUACUUAAAACCCAAUACAUGUAUUAUGUAAUGAGUUACUUUAAAAGCAAUACAUGUCUUGUGUAGCGAGUUACUUAAAACCAAAUACUUGUUUUAUCUAGUGAGUUACUUUAAAAGCAAAACAUGUCUUGUGUAGCGAGUUACUUAAAACCAAAUACUUGUAUUGUCUAGUGAGUUACUUAAAACCUACAUGUACAUUGCUUGCUCCAGUAUAAAGUCAUAUCAAAAUAACCUUUUCUGUAUAAAAAACCCAUGUCUGUUAUUCUGUUAUAUAGUUAAGUGUUCAGAAUUCGUUUCAUUUAUCGUAACAUGUGUAUACCUUGUAGAAAUAUGUUUUGUUAAACAUUAAGAAAUGAUCUAGUUUAUACUUUAGGUCUGUAUAUGUAUUUGUUGAAUAUUACAAUCGGGAAUUAGAGUAGAUGUUGUCAAUCUUUAAUGUAUUUAAGUUUAGUAAACUGCUCAUAUUCUCAAAUCCUAAUCAGCCUCAGAAUACAUUUGGGUCAGACAAGUUCUGUACCAUUACUUGGGAAAUGAAAAUACUAAAAUGUCAAAAUUGUUGAUUUUGUCAUAGAAAUGACAACGUUUCAAUAGGGUGCUGAUUUCAAUGAAAGUAAGUGGACCCUAUAGGUGACAAUUUUCAAAACUACUUCUUGAUUUUAUUUGGUAUUAUUGUAAAGGUCUAAUGUUCGUUUUUAGAACGUUGAUAAAUGAUAGUCCAGACUACAUUAUAAGUUAUUAACACUAUUUGUGAUAUUAUCAGCUCCUUUAAAAGCACGAUUUAAUGUUGAUACAAAACUAUGAAUCGUGACUUCCUUGCUUUUUAACAUUAAUUAAUCGAGUUACUUAUUGCCUUGAUUAGAAAAUAAGACUUUGUACAGAUGGUAUCAACAGCAACAACAUUAAGCAUCACCGGCCACACUACAGGCGUAAGUUCUCUGUCCUGCGUCUAAAAUCAUUCGUCCACCACAUCUGAUUCAUGCAUGUUGGGAAGUUUUCUGUUAAGGAGAACAGGUUUGUACUGGUACAGAAUCCAGGAAUUCUGGUAAGGUUAGUUAACUCCUUGCUGUUACAGAACUGAAAUGCGGUUGAUAAACCCAGAACAAACAAACGAAUAUACACUAUUGAUCCAAAUAAUUGUUGCAGUUCUUACAGGACAUAAUUAUAUAUUCCGUUUUAAAACUAAAUUAAAAAUGUCAUUUCUUAGGGAUUUAAGAAAAACUUAAUGCAGGAAAUUUAGUCUUGAAAAGAAAGAUGCACGUUUUGCGUUGUGUUGAAAUAUGUGCUGCACGCUCAUUUUGUCUUUUUCGAAUUUUUGUAAAACUUCAACUGCUGUAAAACACCUAGAAUAUCUGCACGUGAGCGUUCAGUGUAUAAAUGUUUAAAACGCAAUGCUCUGUAAUAUAUCAUGCUUUUGGUGCUUUGUGUUUUAUUACUAAAAUAGAUGAACGAAUGCAGCUUCGAAUGUUUUCAGUUAUAUAGUGUAAAAUCAGAAAUAUUUGGGAGGGAUUUAGUCUUGAUAUUUUCCUCAACUUCCCGUAUUCAUGAAACAAAAUAUUUGUGAAAGUGCUAUUUUUGUCAUAAGUUACCUUUUACAAAUAUUUUACCACUCGAGUCAAUUAUAGCCUCGCUAAUAUAUUUUGUUUGGCAUACUAGAAUAGUUUAAUUGUUGCUUGGAAUAUUUACUUAUGACUACAUAGAUACAGGAAAUAUGCGUGUAAAAUACAAAAAUAGUGUAGUAAAAACACAGGGAAUUAGAGAACAUUCCAAGAAAUCCGUAAGUUUUGUCAGUUUCACAAAAUUUUGACAAUUCCAUAUACGUUUGUCAGUUCUACAUACUUUCGUCAGUUGUACGUAAAUUUGUCAGUUGUUCGUAGUUUUUCAGAUAAACGUUGUUUCCUUUAGUAUGUAUAACAACAAUUUCUCCUUAAAUUUAUGCAGCUUCAAUGCCUCUGUUGAUGGUUUUAGAAGAAUAAACGUUU